UAAUCUGGUGUUCUAGGCGUAUUGGAACCACACCAUCUUUUAAACCAACUUGGUUGUUAAACUUUACUGCGGUGACAAUACUAUAGGGGAGACUCUAUGGGAAAAUAGCUCAAUGCCAGAUA
rnacentral:rRNA from 1 species